rnacentral:rRNA from 1 species
GUUGUGCCCUUGAGGCGUGGCUUCCGGAGCUAACGCGUUAAGUCGACCGCCUGGGGAGUACGGCCGCAAGGUUAAAACUCAAAUGAAUUGACGGGGGCCCGCACAAGCGGUGGAGCAUGUGGUUUAAUUCGAUGCAACGCGAAGAACCUUACCUGGUCUUGACAUCCACAGAACCUUGUAGAGAUACGAGGGUGCCUUCGGGAACUGUGAGACAGGUGCUGCAUGGCUGUCGUCAGCUCGUGUUGUGAAAUGUUGGGUUAAGUCCCGCAACGAGCGCAACCCUUAUCCUUUGUUGCCAGCGGUCCGGCCGGGAACUCAAAGGAGACUGCCAGUGAUAAACUGGAGGAAGGUGGGGAUGACGUCA